rnacentral:rRNA from 1 species
UCGAGAAUCUUUCGCAAUGGGCGAAAGCCUGACGGAGCGACGCCGCGUGUAGGAUGAAGGCCCUCGGGUUGUAAACUACUGUCACGGGUUAUGAAUGUGCAUAUGUUAACAGCGUGUGUAUUGACGUAAGCCCGAAAGGAAGCACCGGCUAACUCUGUGCCAGCAGCCGCGGUAAUACAGAGGGUGCAAACGUUGUUCGGAAUUACUGGGCAUAAAGCGCGCGUAGGCGGCGACGUAAGUGUAGGGUGAAAUCCCACGGCUCACCCGUGUGAAUUGCCCCGCAUACUGCGUUGCUCGAGUGUGGUAGGGGAGAGCGGAACUCCUGGUGGAGCGGUGAAAUGCGUAGAUAUCAGGAGGAACACCGGUGGCGUAGGCGGCUCUCUGGUCCAUAACUGACGCUGAAGUGCGAAAGCUAGGGUAGCGAACGGGAUUAGAUACCCGCGUAGUCCCUGAGCGGGCUGGCAAGGCGCAU